UACGUAGGGACCGAGCGUUGUCCGGAAUUAUUGGGCGUAAAGCGCGCGCAGGCGGUCCUUUAAGUCUGAUGUGAAAGCCCACGGCUCAACCGUGGAGGGUCAUUGGAAACUGGGGACUUGAGUGCAGGAGAGAAGAGUGGAAUUCCACGUGUAGCGGUGAAAUGCGUAGAGAUGUGGAGGAACACCAGUGGCGAAGGCGACUCUUUG
rnacentral:rRNA from 1 species